rnacentral:lncRNA from 1 species
ACACACAGUAUAGAUGAAUACCAGAAUAGCAAGUGCAUCAUUUAUUACAUCGUAUGAUCCAGAAUAUAUAAAAUAAAACAAUUUGCAUAGCACUUGGCUAGCUUUAUUUAAUCAAACAGCGGAAAGUAGCAGAAAAUAACGAUGAGUCCCAUCAUAGCCCACUGGCGAUGCUGAGUGUAGACUCGCGACCCUAACGGUACCUUACUCUUCGUCUGAAUAUCCUGCAACAUGAGACGUUGCAGCCAUAUAGGUCAAUACUUUGAAUGUAUUGGCAAGUUACACAGGAGUAAUAAUAUAGCAGACCUACAUGUAUAUGCAUAGUACAACAAAGGAAGGCUUGAGGGUUUAUUUUUGCAUAAAGCUGAUUUUAUCCUAAUAACUACCUAAUAGUCAAAUUUUUAUUUAGUCCUUUUAUUACUACAAUUAAAUACACAAGGUUGAGUUGGCAAAAUCAACUCCAACCUACCCUUUAUUAAGUUGCCCACAAAUAUUAUUAAGUGUCACAUCUGUCAAGAUCAUCCAACAACUGUAAUGGCAUAGUGGCUCAAAUUUACCCAUAACCGGGGGCACGGCUAAUCAUGAUUAGUUUUAAUACUCUGCAGAGUUUUGUACGCUUUACCCACUAGACCCAAUCCGAAGAUUGAGACGAAGUCUUUCAGAAGAGGUUCCCUUAACCACCUGACGGCCACAUCCCACCUACAUAUGCUACAUCUGUCGACACAGUCUGGGCAAGGGUUCCAACAACUGAUCAACUAAGCCAGAGCCCAUAUAGCCAGUGGCCGCACAUGGAAGCUACUAGUCACUAAGUCUGUCUGAUCUUUUUGAACCUGGGCUGCAUUCCACUUAGGGUGCACUCUCAUGGGCGCGUGGCCUUAGAAAAGGUGCAAAACCCCAUGAUGCCUUCCCUCAACACCAAGCAAUACCACUUCCGCCCAGAGGUGAGUUAAAUCCUGAGUUACUACUCAAUUGUUAUAUAUAUAUAUAUAUAUAUAUAUAUAUAUAAUCCUCACAUAAACUCAAUGUAUACACGAACCACCCCCGUCUACAAAGCAUAGAAACCUACAACUACCACGAUUUGCAAUGACGGGAAGAUAGCUCAACAGCAUAUAGCAAAAUAAUAUAGUAAUCAUAUACAUGCAUAUAUUCAUAGUGUGAUAUAACUACAUGCAUAGAAAACAAUAGGUAAAGGAUGAUCAACAUGUAACUUGCCUUGGUUCUGGUUCAGAAGGUCACACUCCUGACAAUAGUUUGCGUCGCACUCCGGACAAUCUACACGUUUCACACAAUUCAACAAAUCAAUCACCGGAACACGAAUCGAACCAAAAUAAAACCAACAGCAAGAAAAUCAUUUCAAAAACACAACAACAGAAGCUUAACAGCACCUAAAUUGCACUACGGUCACAACACAAAAAGAAUCACUCGAAUCCGAUAAAUGGUUUGUGAGUUAUGGCCUCCAGAAGGUUUAAUUCAAAUUCAAACGAAUUCAAAUUUGAACAGAGCAAACAUGUGCAAAGUUGGUACUGUGAUAUUGUGCUGAUUUUUGUGAGUGCACAGGAAAAGGAAUCACCUAAUUUGGACUUAUAGAAUAAAAGAUAUAGCUAGUUGAAGUUUUAGCUGAAAUCUGAAAAGAAAACAGAAAACAACAGAAAACUCCUGCACUGUUCGUGCGUGUACUGUAGCUUGUGCCCACAUGGCAGCUCGUGAUUGGCCAAAGGCUCCUGUGCGCGUGCGUGCUCACCAGAAGCAGAGGACGGCGGCGGCGGUCUCGGGCGUUGGCGGCGGCGCUCCUCCGGUGGGUCUCUGGCGAAGGUGAAGUGACGGGCGGGUGCGGUGUCGAGCGGCAGAGGCGGCGGUGGUGUUCAACGGCGACGGGGCUCCCUCCGUAGGCGACAGCAACGAGGUGAACCAUGGUGGUGCUCCGGCGAAGUUGGGCGGCGGUGGCGGCGGCGGCGUUCUGGCGAUCUGCAGGUCACCCCGAUUGGUCAAACGAGUGCUUCAUGGAGCGGCGGAUCAAACAGAGCAAGAAGUGAGGCUCGGCGCGUUCUUACGGUGGCGCAACUGCCCGGCGAACGGCGAAGCUCUUCGGCGAGAUCCAAUCGCCCCAACCAGGGCGUGCGGCAACGGGGACGAUCGGGACAGGGGAUGCAGGGCUUCCCUGGGGUCUUCUGCUUGCGCACGGCAGCUCGGGCGCGCUCGAGGUGGACCAGGACGCCAGGUUGAUCCGGCUCGGCCUCGGCUGGGCGUGC